AAACAACCCUCAUGGAGCCGAAAUCCUUUACAUGCCGACAAGCCCGCCCUGGGCGCACGAGUGGAUGCUUGGCCAGCCUUUCCUGGGAUCGACCUCGCCGCCGUGCUCAGCCCUCACCGCGUCCCCAUCCCACCCCACGCCUCACAGCCGGGGUUCCUGGCCAGCUUCGGAAGCCACCGAGAAAUAGGAUUCCGUGCGCCCGAGAGAACUUUUCCAGGGGCUAAGGAAUCGGCCAGCCGGAGGCGCGAGAAAAGUUCUGGGAAGGCGGUUGCACCUAGGAUGGGUGGAUGCCACGGGGCCUCCGUUCAGGCUGUCCCGUCCGCACGGGUCGACUGGUCACCUUGGAAUCCCCUUUGCAGGUCCCAGCGCCCCCGGGGAACCCGCAGCCUCCGCGGAGAGCGUGGGCCUCUCCCUGACGCUGGGGCGCAGGGCAGUGCACGCCUGAGGGUGGUCGCCCGGGGCUGGGCACCGCCCCCAGUCCUGCGCCGCCGGGGGCUGCGGCGGUGCUGCCCACCCCAGAGAGCCCUCGGCCUGGGGCUCCGGCGAAGCAAGUGCCUUCCCCGCGCCGGUCGCCAGGGGGGCGCGGGAGCAGCCAGAUGCGCCGCAGCCCUGGGAAGGCGGCGAAGGACAGGGGCUAGGGGAGUGAGGGGCGCUCGGCAGGCAGCCUCAGCCCUGGCCCUGCGCGGGAGAAGGGACAGCAGAGACCGCCCGUGGGGCCCCGGGGCGUAGGGAGCUGUCCGUUCAGCCCUGGCGCCCGCCUCGCCCGCGGCAGAGGGCGGCACAGCCGGAGCCUUGGAGAGACCGGCAGCGCCGGCGGCCGCGGGCUUCUCGGCCACUGCCUCCCGGACGCAUGGGAAGCCGCCCCCCGCGCCGCCGCCGCCGCCGCACUGCCGCCGCCGCAGAGGGGUGAGGAAAUCAACUCACCGAGCUCUGGUCGCCGACAAGAGGAGCCCCGGACGCCGGCUGUCGCCCUGCCCGAGGCUGUAAAGUUGUGGGCUCGGCCCGGCUGGCUCGCAGCCUGCGCUUCGCUUCGGGAACUGGGCAGGUAGCGGGGAUGUGGGGAGGAGGGAGCGGGCAGCUGCUGGCUUCCCACUUGGGCGCCAGCGAGUAAGGGCCAGGAAGCGGCGGGGAUGGCAGCUGGGCACCCCCCAGCCCCGCCACCCCUCCCUCCGCUCCUGGGGGCGGUGCUCUGGCCGCCAGUCUCAGCUUCGUGGACUUGCCCCCUCCUCCCCUCUCGAUUCCCCUAGAGCGGGCUGGGGCGCCCUGCCUGGUUUCAGCUGCCCGUUCCAGCUAGGAGAUUGGGAUUCAGCCCUGAUGUGGAUUCUCCAGCCAUCAUCCUGCCCUUCCCUCUCGGCUAUGUCCCACGACCUUCCCUGCUCUCCACUCGGACUGAAGGAACCCUGGGGGUUUGAGAGGUCAGCUUGCCAGGGCAACACCCAUGAAGAUCAGUGUCAUCUCCUCGGAAGGGCUGUGUACAGAGGGUUGGGAGUUGGGACUCUGGAGCCUGUCUACCUGGGUUUGAAUAUUCACCAUUCACUACUGUCACAUCUCAGAUUCCAGUUGCUUCGUCUGUAAAUUCCAGUGUGAUCUUAGAUUCCAGUUGCCUCAUCUGUAAAAUAGAGAUGUGAGAGUUAAAUGACAAUCUAUGUAAAACCCUUAAACAGAGCCUGCCCAGGGCAAGCACUGCUUGACUAGAUCAUAAUUAGAGACACUACUUAUCGGGCCCCUACUAGGUAGCAGGCAUUGUGCUAAGCCUUUAGCAUAAGACGCUUCCUUAAUCCUCUCAGCCUGGUCUGUGAAGCUGGCUGAGCCCCAUUCUGGGGAUGAGGAGGUUGAAGCUCAGAGAAGCUAAGUUGCAUGUCUAAGGUCAUACAGCCAUUAAGUGACAGAGCCUGGACUUGAACCUGGUUCUACCAUUAAUGCUCCUGCGCUCAGCCUCUACACAACCCAGCAUCACCCUGGGACCCACGGGCAGCUCUGAUUUGAGAGAAGGAAAGACAAUGGGAGUUUAUCCAGACACAGAGCUUGAACUUGGAGCUUCUUCUUUGAGCCUCACCCCCACCUUCUUAUUUCUAUUUCCUUCCUCUUCCAGGGCUCCGCUGUUCUAAGGUGGGUACUGUGAUGCGCCAAGAGGUUAGUGACACCAAUGUGUAUCAGAUAGUGGGGGGUCGGGGGAGCAGAGCCUUAAAAACAUCAAACACUGCAGGAAUAUUGGUGCCAUCACCAUCCUCAAUUUCCUGGGUGUCGUAGCUCACCUAUCUGCCCUGUUCCUCUCCUCUGGGUGAUGGCAUACUUAAUAAAUAAAUAAUUAUUUAUUGCUUUCUC
rnacentral:antisense_RNA from 1 species